rnacentral:rRNA from 1 species
AAGCGGGGCAACUCGCAAGUAGAGCGGCGAACGGGUGAGUAACACGUGGGUGAUCUGCCUCCGAGUGGGGAACAACAGCGGGAAACUGCUGCUAAUACCGCAUGACAUCAUCGGGUCACAUCGAUGAUCAAAGCCGGGGACCGCAAGGCCUGGCGCUUGGAGAGGAGCCCGCGUCCGAUUAGCUAGUUGGCGGGGUAAUGGCCCACCAAGGCAACGAUCGGUAGCCGGCCUGAGAGGGCGGACGGACACACUGGGACUGAGACACGGCCCAGACUCCUACGGGAGGCAGCAGUGGGGAAUUGUUCGCAAUGGGCGCAAGCCUGACGACGCAACGCCGCGUGGAGGAUGAAGAUCUUCGGG